rnacentral:lncRNA from 1 species
CCCAUGCACUCUGUAAGUGUCGAGCCUAACCUCGACAAAGUAGUGACGAUGCUAAGGUGGGUCACAUAUAUUAACUUGUAAUAAUAAUAAUAAUAAUAAUAAUAAUAAUAAUAAUAAUAAUAAUAAUAAUAAUAAUAAUAAUAAUAUAAAAUACAUGAAUGGAAGUAAAUAAGGUAACUCACGUCAACGAAACUCAAAAUCUACCGGCAGACAGUCCCGAAUAACCAGUUAUAGAAUCAUCUCAACAACCAAGACAAUUUAACAAUCACAACAUAUAUAACAUUCAUCAACAUAUUCCAGCAUGCAAAUUGAUCAAACAAUAUAAAGUUUAAUCAAAUUCGUUGCGACGCGCAACUCGGCACCUCCGUAUAAUCAUCUAACAAUAUUAUAGUCCAUCGAUAUCCUGCCAUUUUCAAUUCAUUUCUUUUCAAUUUUUAUUUUUACAUGCAACAUGCUCCCCAAGCAACGUCAUUAAGAUUUACAAUAAAUUAUACAUCAAGAGAACAAAUGUACGUUCAAUGGAGAAUAACAUGAUAAUAAAGAGGAGUGAACUACUCGGAUGUCUCACCUUUACUAACUCAACGAUAUAUAAUUUUAACAAUAUGUACAAGUGAAACUAUUUCAAUAAAGGCAACAAUUAAUAUGAUAUUAUAAGGUAAUAAGGCAUAAGACAAUUUAGAUAUAUGAGAGAAAGAAAUCGAGACCCGAGUUAUAGACAAUGUAUACUGGUCUUGUGUUAUGACUAUCGGGGUUUGGAGACCUGAGUUGAUUUAUUAUUAUUGAGCAUGGUGGACAUUGAUGUUAUUUUGGGUAUGGAUUAGCUAUCUCCGUGUCAUGUUAUUCAAGACUGUCAUGCUAAGACAGCCACUUUGGCUAUGCCAUGUAUACCGAGGAUCGAGUAGCGUGGUGUGACUGAUUAUGUCCCUAGUAGAGUUAUUUGUUUCCAAAAGGCCAAGCGUAUGGUUGGAAGGGCUAUCUGUCAUAUUUAUCCUUUGCGCGGGAUGUCGGAGCUGAGGCUCCUAGUAUUAAUUCGGUUCCAGUCUUGAUGGACUUUCCCAAUGUAUUUCCUGCAACCUGUUGGUCAUGCCACCAAAUAAAAAUAUUUUUGGUAUUGAUCUGGUGUCGGGCACUCUGCCCAUUUUCAUUCUACCGUAUCGUAUGGCACCAGCGGAGUUGAAAGAAUUGAUGGAUCAACUUCAAAAACUCCUAGAUAAGGUGUUCAUUUUGCCUAGUAUGUCACAGUGGGGUGCACCGGUUCUGUUGUAAAGAAGAAGGAUGACACAAUGAUAAUUUGCAUUGAUUAUAGGCAAUUGAACAAAGUAACAGUGAAGAACAAGUAUCCCCUACCAAGUAUUGAUGAUAUAUUCAACGAGCUUCAAGGAGCGAGGGUAUUCUCAAAGAUUGAUCUCCGUUCGGGUUAUCACCAAUUAAAGAUUUACGGAUUUGGAUAUUCUUAAGACUGUUCUCAUAGAUAGAUAUGAUCACUAUGAGUUUGUUAUUAUGUCUUUUGGGCUUACCAAUGCCCCAGCAGUGAUAAGGAAUUUGAUGAAUAAUGUAUUUUGGCGUUAUCUAGACUCGUUCGUUAUCAUAUUAAUUUAUUAUAUUCUGGUGUACUCGCAUAGUACGGAGGAGUAUUCAGAACAUUUGCGAAUUGUAUUGCGGAGGUUGAGGGAGGAGAAGCUAUAUGAAAAGUUCUAAAAGUGUGAGUUUUAUCUCGGUUCAGUGGCUUUCUUGGGCAUAAGGUGUCUAGAGAGGGCAUUAAAAGUGAUCUGAAGAAGAUAGAGGCAGUGAAGAGUUGGCCUAGACCAUCCGCAUCCACAAAGAUUCAUAGUUUCCUCGAUUUUGUGGGUUAUUAUCACCGGUUUGUUCAUGGAUUUUAAUCUACUGCCUCGCCCUUGACAAAGCUGACUCAGAAGGGUGCUCCAUGUGUAUGGUCGAACGAGUGCGAUGAGAGCGUUUAUAAGAACAACAGCUUUGACCACAGCUCCAGUAUUGGUUUUGCCAUCAGCAUCAGGUUCUUAUAUCGUCCGUUCUGAUGCUUCGAGAGUCGGGAUUGGCUGUGUAUUAAUGUAGGAGGGUAGAGUGAUUGCUUAUGCUUCUCGUCAGUUGAAUCCCCAUAAGAAGAACUACCCUGUUCAUGACUUAGAGUUGGCUGCCAUAGUUCAUUCUUUGAUGAUUUGGAAGAACUACUUAUAUGGUGUAUCUUGCAAGGUAUUCACUCAUCAUCGCAGUUUUCACACCUCCCUUUUCACCAAACCCGUAAGGGCAUAAAAGAUUCUUUCCAAUUAAAGGACAAUCAUAACGUGAUUAAUUAUUUAAUAUUUAGAGUCUCCACUUGGGAAAUUAAUGGUGUCCCAAGUCAUUGGUUGAAUCCCGAACCGAGAAAAAUAUGACUUUGUUAACAAUCUGCGAACAAGAAUUCCGACUAAGGAAUUUCGUUAACCCGGGAGAAGGUGUUAGGCAUUCACGGGCUCCGUGGCUCAAGCUUAGUUGCUCGAACAUCGAAUUUAGCUUAGUGUCCUUUUUGAUUACAUGAAGAACCUAUGUGCCAAUUUUUAAUUUUAACCGCUUUUAUUCGAUAUGUAUUUUUUAAAGAAAGUUGAACGUCGUUUAAAGUAUGCCUUCAGAUUGCGUCACAUGAAAUGAACCCACAAUCCUAAACACACUUUAUUCAACGUUUUGGGAUUUGAGUUGGGUCACAUGAAAUGCACACCCGAGUUUUAGGAAUGUAAUUUUAUUAAAAUCGCGUUUGAAGUGUCUAAUGUGUUAUUAUCUUUUGGAAAAGCCGUGAAAUUUGCUAAACGGUCUGUCCCUAAUUGCUAAGUAUUUUAUUAACCAAUUAUCGAGGUCCCCUCAUUUUGUAUUUUUAUUCGACGAGGCUCCUCUCAUUUUAUUUUAAUAGGCAAGCCUAAAAGCAACUAUGAUUUUUCUAUUUUUGUUUUGUCUCUAAAAGACAAAAAAAACUAAUAUUUUUUAUCAUAAUUCAGGCCUCAAGUUGAAGUCCGGGUUCAAACAAAAGGAAGAACCUUUUAAUUUGAACCUGCUACCUAACUCAAAACCCAAACUUAUGUUAUUGCCUAAGUCUUAAAAUAAUUCUUUGAACUGAAGCCAAAUCUCUAGCCCAACGGACCAGGCCGUAACAUGGGCCCCAUUUCUAUUUCCAACUAUUGAGUACCAAUCAGCGAUCGAUUCCUCCCAUACUAAAAUGGAAUUCCAAUUGAAAUUGCAAGCACAAGCAUACCACAUGUCGAUCCUUCACAGCCACAGUCCAAUUUUAAGUGCAAUCUGAGCAAAAACUUGAGGCCCAAACGUAGGAGCAACUUCAAGCCUUUUAUAUUUCAUAACUUAUAAUAGAGUAAAAUGAUUUUUACUUAUUCAACUUGGUGAAGUACUAAACCAUUCUGAUUUCAGCUUAACACUCACACAAUUUGUAACAACCCGACCGAUCGUUUUGAGCUCCGACACAUCAUUCAGUGGUCUGAAGGUAUGAGCAGAUUCAUUUCUUGUAUAUUGACCUGUACGCAUGGUGGGAAUUGAAUGUCAGUAAGUUUAGAAUGGAUUUGGAAGGAUAAUUCUCAUUUGGAAAGCUUAAGUUGAUGAAAUAAACUAGGAUUGGAAUUUUGAGUUAAUGAAGUCGAAAUUGGGAUCUGAAGGUUCCGGGAGGUUUGUAUGAUUAUUUUUGACUUAGGCGUUUGCCCAAAUUGGGUUUUGGACAACUAGAGAGCGUUUUGGCACCAAUUGUGCAAGUUAGCAUUUUGGAAGAACUUUUCUAAGUUUGUCUUGAAGUGCAUUUCAGCGUUAUCAGUGUCUGUUUGGAAUUUCGAGACUGGGAGUAGCUUUGUAUGGUUAUUCUAGAGUUGGGAGCGCAAUUGAAAGUAAAUUCGGACGGUAAUUUUGAAAUCAUUUGGGUAAAUAUAGAAAUUUGAAGAUUUUUUAAAAAAUUCGACCGGAAAUGAAAAAUUUAAUAUCGGGGUCAAAAUGCAAAUUUUAUGGUUCGGAUAGCUUCAUUAGGUGAUUUGGGACUUACGAGUGUGUCCAAAAUAUAUUGGUGAUGACCAGUGUAGAAUUAAGCUUGUAUUAACAAAGUUAGUAUUUUUGCGAAUUCCGACUGAUAGGUGAGAUUAUGAUCUGAGGGUUAGAAUGGAAUUUUCAGAGUUGUUGUUUCAUUUUUAUGUCAUUUUGGACUUAUGUGCAAAAUUUGAAGUCCAUCGGACGUGAUUUGAUAUAUUUCGGAAUCGAAAAUAGAAGUUAGAAACAUCAAAGUUCAUAAAGCUUUGGUUGGAGGUUGAUUUGUGUUUUUGGCUUUGUUUGAUGUGAUUUGAGGCAUCAAGCAAGUCCUUAAUGUAUUUUGGGACAAGUUGAUAUGAUUGGUCCCCGGGGGCCUCUGACGUGUUUCGGGAUGUGUUGCACUCUUGUUUGAUGCUUUGACACUGUUUUUUUCCACGUAAAUGGCUACCAUAUUAAGCAAAUGAGCUACAAAAUUGAGUUUUUAUUGAACCAUUAGAUCUGUAUCAUAAUUUUGGAGCCACACCAAAAAGAAUCGUCAAAUUUGGAGAUCUUAUGAGGGAGUUAAGCUAGUUUCCGUGUCGAAAAGAGUUGGUUGCUGUCAAAACCGCAAAAGCAGAAAUUUUUCAUAGAUGCAAAAUCGCAAAAGGAAAAAAAAUUGUGCACAUGCGGAAUCGCAAAAACAAAAAAAUUUCCGCAGAUGCAGUACCACAAAACCAGAAAUUGCUGGAAGCAGGGGGGUUUCUUUAAAAAUCGAAUUUGACUCAUUUUUCACUUCAUUUCUGCCAUGGGAGCCGAUUUUGGAGCAACUUUGGAGAGCUAUUUUCAUCAUAAAGCAUGAGGUAAGGGACCUCUACUAGUAUUGAGUAUAUACGUCAAUUAUGUGUGGAUUUUAGCAUAAAAAUGGGUAGAAAUUUGAGGGUUAGAGGAAGACCAAGAAAUAUUUUCUUAUUGGAUUUUUAUCACGUAUUUGAUGAUGGAAUUAGGAGUAAAUUAUAUAUUUGAGUUCCUAAGGUCAUGGGUAACCUUUAUCUUUGAAAAUUUUUAUAUUAGGGGCAUGUGGGCCUGACGGCAUUUUUGUCACUUCACAAAGCAGUGUUGGGAAAUUGUAUAAUUCGAAUUGUUAGCAAGUAUUUGCAUAUAAUCUCAUUAGUUUGCCGUUAUUUGGCUAGUUUUGGAGAAUUUUACGUUGGUUCAAGACUACGAAAGUAUGUAGAAUGAUGGUUAUGGAUCUUCAAAUCAAUGUGAGUCUCCUUUCUAAUCCUGUGGUGGGGAAAUUACCUCAUAGGUGAGUUUAAUUGAUUACGUGCUCCAAAUUGUGGAGGCUACGUACGCACGAGGUGACGAGAGCCAUGUGUAGCUACUAUUAUGCUAUUGUCUAGGAAGUCUAGGACCUAAAAACAUAUUAUACGUGGAUUAUUCGUGAACCCAUUGAUGGCUUGAAAAGCUUUAAUCACAUUAAAUUAAUAAAUAGAUUUCUAAAAGACUUAAGAUAUGUUUUUCUCAAAUUAUUGAAGAGAAUUGGCCUUUCUUGGAUAUUUGUCCAUGUUUACUUCUUAACUAAUUAUAUAUCUAUGUGUGUUUAUUUUUGGAACGGACUGAACGCCUUGGCAGAUUAAAUAAAUGCAUACCGCUCGACCCUCCGCUAUGCACACUUUAUAUUUCUGUUAGAGCGGUCCAUUGACCUCGAUUUGAUUUGCACAUGUUUGUGUUGUUGUCUUGAACUCAUUUGAGUUAUUUUAUGCCACGCUAGGUCUUGAAAUCAUUUACUAAAUAAUAACAAGAAAAAUAAGGAAAUUUUUCAUGAAAAGAUUAUAUGACUACUUGUUUUCCCAUUUCUUUAUUAGAAUAAUGUGUAUCAAACAAAUCCGUUGUUUAAUAUAUUUAUUGAGGAUAAAUAUUCAUUGGACUACUACUGAGUGUCCGGUUGACCAUCUCGACUCUACCCUUCGAGAUUAGGCGGGAUACUAACUUGGUACAUGUUUUUGUACUCAGACUACACUUGCUGUGCAUCUUGUUGCACAAGUAUAUGUGACUCUAGUUGUCUACUAGGCAUAGCAGCAUGGAUGAUUUUUGGACUAGAUGAGCUACAUCAUUCGGACGGCCGCAACUAGGGUAGUCCUUUCCAGUGUAUUGUAUUUACUUUCGUCCACUGUAUUCCGGACGGAUGUUGUAUAUUAUUUAUUUUAUUAGUACAUGUUCAUGAACUUGUGACACCGGGUUCUGGGAUGGUUUGAAGUAUUGUAUUAAUUGCUUAACUUUAAAAAUUGUAUUUGAAAAUUGUAUUCUUUAGGAUUUCUUAAUAAUGAAGGUAAAAUCUUAUAUUUCAAAAGUGUUAAAACGAGGUUUUGAUUAUGUAAUUUGGUUGGUUUACCUGACAGCAGUGUCCUACAUCACCACGACCCUUAGAGAAUUUUGGGUCGUGACAACAUGGUAUCAUAGCUCUAGUUUCCCGUCGGUCUCACGAGUCAUGAGAAAGUCUAGUAGAGUCUCGCGGAUCGGUACAAAGACGUAUAUACUUAUCCUCGGGAGGCUACAAGGAUGUUAGGAGUAUUUCCCUUCUUGAUUUCCUUAUCGUGCAAUUUGAUUCCUCUAAAGGCUUAUGCUUUUCAUUCCUUCAGAGUCAAUCUUAUGCAACGCCGAGCGCUUGUUGUAAUUCAAGAAUUAAGAACUUUGGUGGCACAACAGAUGUGGUGCGGUAUGUUUCUCCCGGUAUAGUUGAUUGGGCUGUUACAGCCGCUUGUGGAAGGAUAUCAUAUUGUUUUGCGUCGGUAGCUGUACGUUUGGGGAGCUUGAGGUUAGGCACAAGUUUUCAUGAUGCUUAUGAAUGAGUUUUUUGCGGUAUUGAUAUAAUGGCAGGAUGUUUUCCUAUGUGUGGAGGAAGUGAAUGACUGAAGGGAGGUUUAACCUCUGCAUGAUCUAAAGAUUUGGUGUUUUAUUCCCGACAGGGGAAAGGCAAUCGGGCAGCGAAUGUUCAAGUGGGGUUUAUAUUUUAGUCCUUAUGGAAUUUGCGAAAAUCGCCGGUGUUAUGAUCUUCUACAAUUUGCCUUUGGGACGAUCUUGUGGGUCAAUAAUUACGGAGCGACAGUCAAAGAUUAUGGGAUGCAUUGGUUCAGGUUGGAAAAAGUGCUCUUACUGUGAUGGCUCGAGAAAUAUGAUCUUCAGAAAGGUUUAAAGUUAGGAGCGACUUGUGGGUUCAAGUGCUGGGAAGAUUGGUUUUUUUAAGGCAUUAAUUGAGCACCAAAGUAGGAGGAAGGACAUGUUGGAAGUGUCAUGCAUUAUUCAAAACUUCUAGAAGGCCAAGUACGAUGAGCAACGUCGAGUAGUCGAUCAAAGGGAUGAGUACUGCCAAAGUGGGGGAGUGGCGGCUGUAGCAUAUGGGCUUUGUAGUAGGAUGACUACACGCCUUGAGGAGAGGUUGGAUUGAUCGCAGAAUUUCAGAGAUUAGCUGUUGGGGGAAGAUUUGAUAUAGCGGAAAUGAUCUACUUGAAAUAAAGGAGGAUACAUCAUAAACUUUGAAUUGGAAGGAUAUUUUAGCAUUUUUAAUUGAUGUAGACGAGCGGUGAAUGGAGUGGUGCAGCUGGAGGGUGCGGUCGGACCUAUGAGGGGUAAUUGGAUUAGAAUCAUGUUUAUAAAUAAAUCCACUUUUUAAUAUAUUUAUUAAGGAUAAAUAGUCAUUGCACUACUACUGAGUGUCAGGUUGAUCAUCUCGUCUAUGUCCCUUCGGGAUUAGGCGGGAUACACACUGGGUACACGUUAUUUUUGUACUCAUACUACACUUGCUGUGCAUCUUGAUUCACAGGUAUAUGUUACUCUAGUGAUCUACUAGGCAUAGCAGCGCAGAUGAUUUUGGGACUAGAUAAGCUGCAUCAUUCGAGACGGCCGCAACUAGGGUAGUCCUUGCUAUUAUAUUGUAUUCACUUUUGUCCACUAUAUUUCAGACGGGUGUUGUAUAUUAUUUAUUUUAUCAGUAGAUGCUCAAGGACUUGUGAUUCCAGAUUCUAGGAUGGUUUGUAGUAUUAUAUUGCUUAACUCGAAAAAUUUUAUUUGAAAAUUGUAUUCGUUAGAAUUUCUAAAUUAUGAAUGAAAAAUCCUAUAUUUCAAAAGACUUAAAACGAGAUUUUGAUUAAGUAAUUUGGUUGGCUUGCCUGACAGCAGUAUUCGGCGCCACCACGACCCUUCGUGGAUUUCGGCUCGUGACAUUAUUUCUGUUUAUACUUUGAUAUCAUUAAGUUAAAUAAAAAUAUAUAUUGAAAAUAUUAAACCAAGGCACAACUUUCUGUACACAAGAGAAUUGAAGGACUCAGAGUGAUUGCCUGUUUUCAAUUACCCUUUCACAUUUGAUAAUCAAGCUUAACAGAAAUGAAAUUAAAUUGGCUAAGACAUGACGGAUGAUUCCAAUUUAGAUUACUAAAGUUCACUAACAUACACUCUAAGCUAGCUGCAACCAAUUCAUGUGUUACAUUCACCAAACUAACCAAUUAACAAUCGCUAAAUAUAGUUCACAUUAACCUAAUACUAGCAGUCCACAUUAUUAAAGCUUAGUCCAUACCCAAAUCCCCACCAAUUCAAUGAACUAACAAUAAUCAAUUAAUAAAAAACAACUCAAACUAUUGAAAGACGAUCAUCAGACACCAUCCAAAAUGCAGAAUUCCAGUAGCUAUUUCAUUUCAACCUCAAAUUAGAGUUACAUGGAAUCGAACCAAAGAAUGUGUAUCUGGAAAUGUGGAGUAUAAAAUGAAAGAGAAGUAAGAAGCAGCAGUAGAAAACAAAAACACAACACAUAAAAGUAUUAGAAACCCAAAUAGAUCACAUAGAUCUACUUAAAUCAACACCAACAUGCCCGAGAAUAACCAGGAAAGUAGGACAACCAAUAGGCUAAAUCAAAUCAGCUUCAAGUAACCCAAAUAUCUUUGAGAAUGAACCAACACAUGCUCAGCAUCUUCAACACACCACAACAUAAUCAAAAUAUAGCUCAAUCGGACCUAGGGCUUUCCGAAAUCAGUGUAUAUCUCUGAAACCUGAACUUAGGAAAACUAGAAUUCCAAUGGAAUAGUAACUACUUUUUUUUUGUUUUUCUAUUAGAUUUUUCUAUUGUUUUUGAUUUUUGGAGUUUGAAUUUAAGUUUUUGGGUCUGAAAAAGUGAAGAGAGUGUUUGUGAGGGGUGAUUCUUAUGGUUGAAAAGAUGACCCCUCAACAAAGCAAAAUGCCUUCCUUUUAUAGGCACCCAGAAUGAGUUAUCAGACACCAAAAUUCCUUUUAAGCUAAUAAUUCCACUUUCAGUCCCUAAGCUUUUAACUUGAGACACAAGCAACUACCACUAUCAAACUACCACUUCUCCUAGAAGCCUCUAGUAAUUCCCUAGCACAGUCUCCAAAUGAAAUUCUCAAAUUGACUUUUUAUUAACUAAUUAUGCUAAGGAUUGACAACUAAACUAGACAUGGAUAUACUUAACUAUAUCAAAAAGUUAUCUAACUAAAACAAACAUUAAUCACACAGAACAUUACUCAAUUAUUAACCAAUUCGGUCAACAUCAGAAGUAAACCAUUACCACCUAUAGGUAUAACAGAAUUAAGAACAGAAAUCAAGCUAAACAGAAAAAUAUUUAAAACACAACUGCCAAAUUAAACUAAUCAGAGCGAACAACUAGCAGGCGAUAAUUAAACUAAAAAAACCAAAGCCAAUCAAACCCUCAGCAUUAACUAAUCAUGCAAACUUAUUAUUAUCGAAAUCAUUCUGACACUUUACUUGAAUCUACAUGCUAGCGAAAAAAUAGUGAUGGAGUAGUGAUUGAAACAGAAAGGGAAAUGAAGGGAACAAACUUACUAAACAAAGUCCGGCUAGUCUUCAAAGACAAAUUUAAACAAGUCUAAUGUGAAUUGAAUGCAAUUGGUCUUGAAUUCAUCAUGGGGAAGGUCCCAAGAACGUAUGGUACAAUUUUGGGGCUAAUAUAGGCGACUAGGGUUUUGAUUAGUGAAACUUCAAUCGAAUAUUUGAUCAAUUUUGGUGGGAUUCGAGGCAUGGGACUAGCGGUAUUUAAUAGAGGAGGUUGUGGUAGUUAUACAAUGUUAAUUUGGUGCCAUUUAGGAUUUGUAGUGUCAUGGCUGGAAAAAAUUUCGACGAAGACUCGAAGGGCUGGGCUGGGUUAUGAAUGGAGUUGUUUACAGAUUUUAGAUAAGGGAGAGAAGAGGAUCACGAGGUGUUAAUUUGGGAGAAUUUGGAGUGAUUAGCGUUCUGUGCCGGCUGCUCGGCCGGUGGAGUUUCAGAGAUGAGUACGAGGAAGAUAACAUGGUCAUUACGGUUAUACACACUCACUUAGACACUUAUAUUGAAAUAACAAGAACCAACAUGGGCCGCUGGAUUGGAGGGAGUCAAUGGCUGUGAUUAACUGACGCCUAACAACGUCAUUUCAUCUAGGGGUGAACCGGGUUAUGGAUUGGGC